rnacentral:rRNA from 1 species
GACGAACGCUGGCGGCGCGCUUAACACAUGCGAGUCGAGCGAUGAAAUUUCGACAGAUCCCUUCGGGGUGAAGAUGAAAUGGAUUAGCGGCGGACGGGUGAGUAACACGUGAGUAACCUGCCUUUGACAUUGGGAUAGCCUCGGGAAACUGGGAUUAAUACCAAAUGACACUAACUGAUCACAUGAUCAAUUAGUCAAAGAAAUUCGGUCAAAGAUGGACUCGCGGCUGAUUAGCUAGUUGGUGAGGUAACGGCCCACCAAGGCGACGAUCAGUAGCCGGCCUGAGAGGGUGAUCGGCCACAUUGGAACUGAGACACGGUCCAAACUCCUACGGGAGGCAGCAGUGGGGAAUAUUGCACAAUGGGGGAAACCCUGAUGCAGCGACGCCGCGUGAGCGAAGAAGGCCUUCGGGUCGUAAAGCUCUUUUAUGAGGGAAGAUAAUGACGGUACCUCAAGAAAAAGCCCCGGCUAACUACGUG